CAGGACUCCAGCUGUAGUCUGGGCCAGUUGAGACAUUCAGCCUCAUGGAUGGAACAGUUGCGGAGACAUGAGUCAUUCUCCUUUCCUAACUGAAACCUGGACAAGAAGAGUUGCUGAAAGGCCAAUAUGUAAUCAAAGACAAUCAUGACGAAUGUAUUAAGAAUGGGGGCCUCUCGCAACAAGGAAGUUUAAGGACUCCAAAGUGCCUGGUCCUGGCUGCUCACUGUGAAUCCUCUCCUUUGGAGGGAAUGCUUCAGCUCUUCAAAGGGACCCCCAAAGUCACAGGACUGACUGCUGGGGUCAUCACCGCCAAUACUCGGGAUACUUGUCUGAGGGUGAAGAUACAGAGGGUGCACAGGUGGAGACAGCAAUCCCGACGCUGUCACCCUCAGUAAGUUGCUGGUCCCAGCGGAAACAAUGCUCCUGUGCACCCGUCAAUGUCUCUUUCUGUCUCUGAAGCUAGAGAUCGAUCCCAAGGCUUCAAACACGCUAGGACCACUCUCCCAUGGAGCCACACCCCAACCCCACAAAACCCACCUUUGCCGACGAGUUGUUUGUGGCUACAUCUAAUGUGAUUCUGUGACAUUUCUAUUUUCUGCAUUAAAAAGGCUUUAUUGUGGU